CGAGGCGGACGGGUGACCGCCGGCGAAGUAAAUAGCGUUGGAGGAAAGUCCGGGCUCCGCAGAGCAGGGCGCUGGGUAACACCCAGUCGGGGCGACCCGAAGGAAAGUGCCACAGAAAUGAAACCGCCACGAGGGCCUGUCUCUAGAGAGGUUCUCGGGGUAAGGGUGAAACGGUGGGGUAAGAGCCCACCGGCGGCAGGGCGACCUGCCGGCCAGGCAAACCCCGUCCGGAGCAAGACCAAGUAGGAGGGCGUCCCCUUCGGGGGAUAAGGCUGCUCGCCGAGCCCUCGGGUAUCGGUCGCUGGAGUCGCCGGGCAACCGGCGUCCAAGACAGAUGGUCACCGUCCCGCAAGGGACACAGAACCCGGCUUACAGUCCGCCCUCGGCCC
rnacentral:RNase_P_RNA from 1 species